UGCGCAGGCGGUUAUGCAAGACAGAGGUGAAAUCCCCGGGCUCAACCUGGGAACUGCCUUUGUGACUGCAUAGCUAGAGUACGGCAGAGGGGGAUGGAAUUCCGCGUGUAGCAGUGAAAUGCGUAGAUAUGCGGAGGAACACCGAUGGCGAAGGCAAUCCCCUGGGCCUGUACUGACGCUCAUGCACGAAAGCGUGGGGAGCAAACAGGAUUAGAUACCCUGGUAGUCCACGCCCUAAACGAUGUCAACUGGUUGUUGGGAGGGUUUCUUCUCAGUAACGAAGCUAACGCGUGAAGUUGACCGCCUGGGGAGUACGGCCGCAAGGUUGAA
rnacentral:rRNA from 1 species